UACGGGGGGGGCAAGCGUUGUUCGGAAUUACUGGGCGUAAAGGGUUUGUAGGUGGCUCGCUAAGUCAUACGUGAAAUCCCUCAGCUUAACUGGGGAACUGCGUGUGAGACUGGCAAGCUCGAGUGCAGGAGAGGAAUGCGGAAUUCCAGGUGUAGCGGUGAAAUGCGUAGAUAUCUGGAGGAACACCGGUGGCGAAGGCGGCAUUCUGGACCAUUACUGACGCUGAGGCGCGAAAGCUAGGGGAGCAAACAGG
rnacentral:rRNA from 1 species